rnacentral:rRNA from 1 species
UACGUAGGGUGCAAGCGUUGUCCGGAUUUAUUGGGCGUAAAGAGCUCGUAGGCGGUCAGUCGCGUCGAUCGUGAAAGCCCGAGGCUCAACCUCGGAAUUGCGGUCGAUACGGGCUGACUAGAGUUCGGUAGGGGAGACUGGAAUUCCUGGUGUAGCGGUGAAAUGCGCAGAUAUCAGGAGGAACACCGAUGGCGAAGGCAGGUCUCUGGGCCACUACUGACGCUGAGAAGCGAAAGCAUGGGGAGCAAACAGG